ACGCGAUCUACACAAACUUCUGACUGUAACUGAAGGUUGGUUGUUUUGGACAUAGUGCAGAGAGUGAGCGAGCAUACGAGUCACGGUUGAGGGGAGAUAACUAAGGAAUAGGUCAAUUAAGGUCCAGACAAUCAAUUAGCUAGCGCUUGGUUGAUGAGGGAACAAGCUCUUACGGUGUGUUCAUGUACAAAGGCUUUUGAAUAAAGAAACGUGAACCAUCA